rnacentral:ncRNA from 1 species
UUAAACAUGAACUCUUAGAUAAAUUAAAUUAUAAACGAAGUGAAUUGAAAUAUCUUAGUAACUUCAGGAAAAGAAAUCAAACGAGAUUCUAUGAUUAGUGAGAAUGAAAGUAGAAGAAGAGCCUAAUGGUUUACCGGUAUAUUAUUAAUAAAAAUUAUAAUAUAAAGCGUAGUAAGAUUAGAAAAAGUAAAACGGGCAAAACCUGUUUGAAUAAAGGGGAACCUUCCUCUAAGGCUAAAUAUAAUAUAUAAGCGAUAGCGUAUAGUACUGUGAGGGAAAGGUUUGAAGUAGUAGUCUUAUAAGCAGCUCGAGUAAAAUUUAAAUAAAAAGUAAGAGCGUACCUUUUGCAUAAUGGGUCAGCGAGUUAAUAUUAGAUGCGAGCAGUAAUGCCCAGAUAAACCAAUUAUGAAAUAAUGAAUUAGUAUCUAAAAUUAGACCCGAAGCCUGGUGAUAUUACUACAGUCAGGGUUAUAAAAGCCCGAACGGUUUAUCGUUGUAAAGAUAUCCGAAGAACUGUGGUAAGUUAGUGAAAGACAAUACUGACUAGGAUAGCUGGUUUUCUGCGAAACCUAUAUAAGUAGGUAAUUCAAGGUACAUCAUAGCAGGUACAGAACUGUGAUCUCAGGCAACUUCUAUCAUAUUAUCCUAUUGCUACACACAAUGUAGCUAUAGUAUAAUGGGUGAUUUUGCAUAUAUCGGGCAAUCGUGAAGAUUUUAUCGGUGAGUAUUCGCACUCGGAAGGGCAAUGAUGAAUAUUGAAUAAUCGGACAUAGUACGAUAAGGUUGUAUGUCUAAAGGGAAACAGCCCAGAACAAGAGUUAAGGUUCCAAAAUUAUUGUUAAGUGAAAUUAAGGAAGUUUCUAUCUAAUACGACUAGGAAAUAGGCUUAGAAGCGGUCCAUUUUUUGAAGAUCUCGUAACAGAGCACUGGUUUAAUAAAUUAAGUUUACGCUUAUUUAUAUUGAUAGUUGCACCGAAAAUUUAACGGAUCUAAACAAUAUACCGACACCUUGUCCAUAUUUAUUAAUAAUUUAUUAUUAUAUUUAAUGGGGUAGCAGAACGUUGGGUAAAUCUAGGACUUAUUCUUUUUAAGAAUGAAUAUAAGAUAACCCAAGUGAGAAUGCUGACAUGAGUAACGAAAAAGGGAUAACCCUCGCCUAAAGCUUAUGGUUUUAAUAAAGUAACGGCCUCUAAGUUUACCAACCUAAAGGAUUAAUAAACGAUGAGCAAAAAAUCUCUAUCGAGUAGUAACAACCUUCUUCUGCGACCUGCGAAACUGGCUAAUUGAAAAAAGAAAGUGAAGAAGGUUCUGGAAAAACAUCGAUACAUCUAGUUGUCAAGUUGUAAUAAACUAAAAAAGAUGCAUGACAAGACAAUGGAUUUGACCGUACCUAAAGACUACCCCCAGUAAGCUAGUAGAGAAUACGAAGGCGUUUGAGUGAACAAUCAUUAAGGAACUCGGCAAACUAACUACCGUAACUUCGGGAUAAGGAGAGCCAUUCCUCCUAAUUAAUAUUAGGUUAAGAAUAGGAAGCAUGGAAUAGUGUUGUACGACUGUUUAAUUAAAACAAAGCACUCUGCAGUAAGAUAAUAAAUCAAAGUAUUGAGUGUGAUUUCUGCCCGAUGUCGGCUGGUUAACGGAUUUGCUAAGUUGACUAAUAUAAGCUUGGCUUCGAAGGAAACCCCGAUCAAUGGCGGCCUUACCUAUGAGGGUCCUAAGGUAGCGGAAUACCUUGGCCGUUAAAUGCGGUCUUGCAUGAAUGAUUUAACGAUACAACAGCUGUCUCAAUGAUUGGCUCAGUGAAAUUG